UGGAAGCGCACCAUCAUUAAUUAUACACUGAGUUUGAAUGUCAUCUCCAGUCACGAUAUUCCCAACUGUGCGCAGGGCAGGAAUGAGGACUGAUGGUGAAGGAUGUAAUAGGAGCUGUACAAGCCGUCCGCAGACACCUGCCUCGAUCACAGCUUGAAUUUUAUCAUUAGUACCAUCGGAUAGAUAAGAGAGUGCCCAGCAGGCAUCCGUAAGAACUUCUUCAUCAUUUGAGUGAACUAGGCGCUCAAGAGCUGGAAGAGCUGGCUUUACCUGGUCAAAUGGAGGUUGUGGCUUGCCCCUGCAGA
rnacentral:misc_RNA from 1 species